rnacentral:rRNA from 1 species
GUCCACGCCGUAAACGAUGGGUACUAGUUGGUGCGGGUAUUGACCCCUGCGCUGACGAAGCAAACGCAUUAAGUACCCCGCCUGGGGAGUACGGCCGCAAGGCUAAAACUCAAAGGAAUUGACGGGGGCCCCGCACAAGCGGUGGAGUAUGUGGAUUAAUUCGACGCAACGCGAAGAACCUUACCUGGCCUUGACAUCCCGGGAAGGCGGCCGAAAAGCUGCCGUGCCCUUCGGGGAACCUGGAGACAGGUGCUGCAUGGCUGUCGU